AGGUACCGCUCUUCAUGCUGCGCACGCCACUCGGUACAAGUGGCCAGUGCGCCAGU
rnacentral:ncRNA from 1 species